rnacentral:rRNA from 1 species
GACGAACGCUGGCGGCGUGCUUAACACAUGCCAGUCGAACGGGCCCGCUCUCUUUUUUGGGGGUGGGUUGAGUGGCGAACGGGUGAGUAUCACGUGAGUAACCUGCCCCCUGCUCCUGGAUAACUGCUUGAAAGGGCGGCUAAUACGGGGUGUGCCGGCUGGUCCGCAUGGGCCUGGUCGGGAUAGUUUCAUCUUCGGGUGUUUCGGUGGGGGAUGGGCUCGCGGCCUAUCAGCUUGUUGGUGGGGUGAUGGCCCACCAAGGCGGUGACGGGUAGCCGGCCUGGGAGGGUGGGCGGCCACACUGGGACUGAGACACGGCCCAGACUCCUGCGGGAGGCAGCAGUGGGGGGUAUUGCACAAUGGGCGGAAGCCUGAUGCAGCGACGUCGCGUGAGGGAUGGAGGCCUUCGGGUUGUGAACCUCUUUCUCCGGUGGUGAAGGCCCUGUCCGUUGCGGCGGGGUUGACGGUAGCCGGGUAUGAAGCGCCGGCUAACUACGUG